rnacentral:rRNA from 1 species
ACCUACGGGGCGCAGCAGUGAGGAAUAUUGGUCAAUGGGCGAGAGCCUGAACCAGCCAAGUCGCGUGAGGGAAGACGGCCCUACGGGUUGUAAACCUCUUUUGUCAGGGAGCAAGAACGGAUACGUGUAUCCGAGCGAGAGUACCUGAAGAAAAAGCAUCGGCUAACUCCGUGCCAGCAGCCGCGGUAAUACGGAGGAUUCAAGCGUUAUCCGGAUUUAUUGGGUUUAAAGGGUGCGUAGGCGGUCGGAUAAGUUAGAGGUGAAAUCCCGAGGCUCAACUUCGGAAUUGCCUCUGAUACUGUUCG